CUAUGUUUGCCUUCCACCGCAGGGACUGGAAUGAGUUAGAUUCAGAGGUUCUCCUGCUUUUUAAAUCAUCAAAUCAGAGUUCAGGGAUCUAAAAUUGAUACAAGAUGAUCUCAAUGUCAAGGGUCUACAAGGACUCCAGAACUCUCCAGGAGUGAUGAAAGAUGGUGUCUUAGCCUGGGUUUCUGCAACAAGCAGAGCCUAGCACAACAUGGUGGUUUACUUUGAAAAGUGAUCCCAAGAAACAGGAGUGAGAGGCUCGGAAGAGUCAAACGGAAAGAGGACAAGCCAACCAAGGCUGUGCCUGGGUGCAUCACGAUUCACCUAAAAAUCACCACUGAAAUCCGCAGCAGGCAAUUGUGCCAGACAACAGGUGAUGACGGGGGCAAACACGACUCAGCUUCUGCCUGCAGCAUCUACAGUCAUGGAAGGAGACCUCCGUGAAAGUGUGGUGUUUGCUGUGAGAGGGAGCAGACGCUCACUGCCAUAGAUCUCAGAGACCACCAAGGCUGAAUAAGCUGAACAACGCAUGCGGAAAGUCCACAGGCCUGCACACCAAUGGCCACAGCCUGUUCUCUCCCUGCAGGUAGGACACUCAUGCGGUACCACCCUUCCUGAGGACACCUUCCUUCCAUUGCCUGGACAGCAGCAUCCUGCCCUGGGCCACCCUCCAUGUGGAUGCCCUUCCCACUUCCCCAGGGCACUGACUCCAAGCGCAAGGUGCCCUUGCAAUAGACACUCUCCUCACCCCUCUAGUUCUGCCAUCCUGCCCUGGGCCACCUUCUGUGUAGACCCCUCCUCACCCCACUGAGGGUCUGAGUCUCCGUGCCAGGACAUCCUCCCUGGACAGGACCCCCUUCGGACCCUGCUUUGGUCUCCGACACAUGCUGGGCUGCCCCCUCCUAUGUUGGCACCCUCCUCGCUCCACAUGGGCAACCUCACACUGGACCACCGCCCUUGUGUGAGCCUCUAUCUCACCCCGGUGGACUCCACCCUCCUGCUCUGGGCACGCUACUUCCUCCCCACUCAGCUACAGAGGCCUGCCUUGCUCUACCUUACCUAAUGGCUUCUGAACAGAAUUUUCUAGAAGGGAGAGGAAGAAGCAUCGAGCUGGUUCUCUUGGCCUGUUCCUGGAUCCCAUCCUUCUCCUUUGUUCCCGGCUCCUCCAUUCUCUAGGAAUCUCAAUCUCUUCCGGCAUUGCUGAGUUCUCAAGCUCUCUACUUUCCACUGAGCCUGUGAGUCCAGCAGGGACUGGGGUUGGGAUGCAGUUUUCAGAGACCUGUGACUACACCUUUGUUACUGGAUAGACUCCUCAGCCCUGGAUCAGCCACAGCCCUCUCCCAGGAAGCCCCUCAACUCUCUGCUAUUACCCUUCUCCAAGGCCUGAAAACAGGACUCUCUCUUCGAGAAGAUCACAGACCCUUGAGAAGAUACAGAAAUUCUCUGCUCGGCCCAAGUCAAAAUAAAAUGACUGAAUAGGCCAGGGCAGCACAGACGAGAGAGGAGUUUUCUCUGGGGCAGUGGUUCUCCAAGUGUAGUCACUGAGCAAGCAGCAGCAGAGUCAGCUGGGAACUUGUGGGACAUACAGAUCCUGGAGCCCCACCCAGACUACUGAAGCAGAACCUCCUGGGGUGGCGCUGGCAAUCUGUGUUUUAAUAAGCCCUCCUCAUUCUGAUGUCCUCUAAAGUGUGAGAACCACAGCUCCAGAAUACUGCAGGGCAGUGACGGGUGGAGGAGAAGGAGUAGGGCUGACUUCUCAGAAGAGUCCCGAAGACCUUGUCCUUGAGUCUGCAGAGAAGUUCACCAGGCAGACAAAGAAAGAAAGAGCAAGCCCAGGCAUACCCACAAGUACCAUCUGAGCUCUGCAUACCUUCUGAUAUAUGUUUAAUAAUCUUGGAAUAACAAUUGUAUUGAUAUUAUGUUGUUUAGAGUAAGUGGCAAUGUAUUCUUUGAAGAGUUAAAACUGUUUUCUGUGUUUAGAAAAGUUCUCACUUGAACUUAAUUUUGUGUUCUAAAUUUAACUAAGGAUUAUUUUUAUACAAACUUUUGAAAGCUUACUAAAUUUAUCUGAUUAACUUGUUAACAGUAGGUAGUUAGGCAGACAUAAGCAGGGCAGACCCCCACCCCCACCCCAGGAACGUCAGACAACCAUCAGGUGAUGGUCAGGAAGUUGUUCCACUGCUCCCUAAAAUAAUAACUGAUCGCACCCAGCACCAGGGAAAGGCAGUCUCCCAAUAGAUAGAAAACACCUGGCCGGGCACGGUGGCUCACGCCUG
rnacentral:lncRNA from 10 species